rnacentral:misc_RNA from 1 species
UAGCAUUCCUUCAUACCAUCCCCACCCGCAAGCAGCAAAAGGCAAGCAUUAGCAGCAAACCCAAGGCCAUUGUACAGGAGAGACGGUCAUUCUUAUAUAGGGACAGCGAGAUCAUGGAGGAAACUCAAUCCCUCCGCUCACAAAGCAUUCUGCAUCCGAGAGCACAAGCGACUUCCCAUGUGCCAAAGUAGCCAAAAAGGCAUACCAAGGUACACAAUAGCCACUGUGUGGUUCAUCCAAUGCCCGCUUUUGACAGGGGAAAAGAUGAAUAGCUUUAGGCAACAAAAUUGGAUUCCGCUUUGUGGGUAUGCAGCACAGAAACCCAUCCUUGCCCGACAUAGCAACAUGCCUUCGGGACACCACUGAGUGGCCUCAAGGUAGACAGUUCGAUGCACAUGCAUGGAGCCUGCCUACCCCAACAGCC